AGAGUUUGAUCAUGGCUCAGGACGAACGCUGGCGGCGUGCCUAAUACAUGCAAGUUGAACGAUGAUUUCUGGUACUUGUAUCAGAAUGAAGAGUAGCGAACGGGUGAGUAACGCGUGGGUAACCUACCUCUUAGCGGGGGACAACUAUUGGAAACGAUAGCUAAUACCGCAUAACAAUAUUAAACACAUGUUUAAUAUUUGAAAGUACCAAUUGGUACACUAGGAGAUGGACCCGCGUUGUAUUAGCUAGUUGGUAGUGUAAUGGACUACCAAGGCGAUGAUACAUAGCCGACCUGAGAGGGUGAUCGGCCACAUUGGGACUGAGACGCGGCCCAAACUCCUACGGGAGGCAGCAGUAGGGAAUCUUCGGCAAUGGACGAAAGUCUGACCGAGCAACGCCGCGUGAGUGAAGAAGGUUUUCGGAUCGUAAAACUCUGUUGUUAGAGAAGAACGUUGUGUAGAGUGGAAAAUUACACAAGUGACGGUAUCUAACCAGAAAGGGACGGCUAACUACGUGCCAGCAGCCGCGGUAAUACGUAGGUCCCGAGCGUUGUCCGGAUUUAUUGGGCGUAAAGCGAGCGCAGGUGGUUUAAUAAGUCUGAUGUAAAAGGCAGUGGCUCAACCAUUGUGUGCAUUGGAAACUGUUAGACUUGAGUGCAGUAGAGGAGAGUGGAAUUCCAUGUGUAGCGGUGAAAUGCGUAGAUAUAUGGAGGAACACCGGUGGCGAAAGCGGCUCUCUGGACUGUAACUGACACUGAGGCUCGAAAGCGUGGGUAGCAAACAGGAUUAGAUACCCUGGUAGUCCACGCCGUAAACGAUGAGUGCUAGUUGUUUGGGGCUAUCCAGCCCUAAGUGACGCAGCA
rnacentral:rRNA from 1 species